rnacentral:rRNA from 1 species
GACAGAGGAUGCAAGCGUUAUCCGGAAUGAUUGGGCGUAAAGCGUGCGUAGGCGGCUGUUUAAGUCUGGUGUUAAAGCUAGGGGCUCAACCCCUGUGGUGCAUCGGAUACUGGGCAGCUUGAGUGCGGUAGGGGAAGGUGGAAUUCCGAGUGUAGCGGUGAAAUGCGUAGAUAUUCGGAAGAACACCGGUGGCGAAGGCGACCUUCUGGGCCGCAACUGACGCUGAGGCACGAAAGCCUGGGGAGCGAACGGG